CACGUAGGGCGCAAGCGUUGUCCGGAAUUAUUGGGCGUAAAGAGCUUGUAGGCGGUUUGUCGCGUCUGCUGUGAAAUUUCGGGGCUCAACCCCGAACUUGCAGUGGGUACGGGCAGACUAGAGUGUGGUAGGGGAGACUGGAAUUCCUGGUGUAGCGGUGAAAUGCGCAGAUAUCAGGAGGAACACCGAUGGCGGAGGCAGGUCUCUGGGCCAUAACUGACGCUGAGAAGCGAAAGCAUGGGGAGCGAACAGG
rnacentral:rRNA from 1 species